CUCUACGACUAUGACUUACAAUUCAUCGUAAAGGUUUACUAUACCCAUUGUAUCGGAUUUAAUACAGAGAAAUUGUAGUUGAACUAAAUGUUUAAAGAAAUUUAAUUUUUUUAAUAGCAUCAAAAGAAGAAGUAGAAGAGAAAGCGAAAGAGUAGAAUUUUCACCUCUUACUUUAUGUGAUACUGCAACAGAGUUUGAGACAGAUUUAGAAAUUGAACGAUCACACAGCUUUAAAAGUGAUGCAAACCUGAAACAAAGAGUAGAAGAGAAAAUUUUAAAAAUAAAAAGGAAUCAAAAUGGAAAUGAAGAAACCGAUAACAUAUCAGAUAAAAAUGGAGAAUAUAGAAAAGAUAAAAAAAGAAGUGCUCAUAACUCACAAAAAAAUGAAAAAAGGAAUAUUACUGAAAAAACUGAUAAAAAAAAAAUCCAGUGUUGGCUAAUAAAGUUAGUAAGAGCAAAGAAGAUAUUAUUAUAAAAAAAAUGCACCUUUAUUUGCUAAAACUGAAAUAAAAGGACAUCGAAACAACAAUGAUUGUUUGACUGAUUCAAAAGGAAUUACUUAUUCUACGAGAGAAAACAAUGAAUCCAUAGAUUUUUUAGAUCAAAGGCAAGAAAAAUUUUAUGGAAGUGAUAAAGAAAAAAAGGUAGCAAAACUUCUAAAAGAAAAUGAAGAUUUGCGUUCUCAAAAUAAGAAAUUCAAGACGCAAAUAAAAGAUAAAGAAACAAUAGUUAACGAUUUGAUGGCGUUAAAUAUGGAUCUCCAAAAACAAGUGAUUUCAGAAUAUACAGAAAUAUCUAAGAUAAACAAAGAAAUUCAGACAAAAGUUCUGAGUAAUUUUGAUGAAUUGUUACACGUUGUAUCAGAAUAUUUUUAAAAAAAUCCGACUGUUCCACAAGAACAAAUUGGCUUGCCUCCAGUUGGAUAUGAAAAUAAAGCACGAAAUGAGGUACAUCUUGGUUUUGAUGUCUACAUACCCAAAUCUUCAUAUGAUAGUGUUCUUGUGAUAAAUCGAUACCACAAUUUAUAAAAAACCUGGCUGUUGCUGUUUUUGGAAUAAAAAUGCUCAAAGAAAGUACUGUAACAUGUACUGUGUCAAACAGAAAGAAAAAAAUCAAAAAAUGUAGAUCCUAGACCUCCAUUAGAUCCAACAAAAUUAAAAGCCAUCAGAGCUACAGUCAAACAUUAUUUGAUAGCUCAAUACGAUCAAGAUGAAAUUUCAAUCGAUUUUGAAUUACAACAACUUGGAUCGCAUAUUGCACAUAAAAUAUGUGAACUUAAUAGGAAUCCAAAAUCUACGGGCUUAAGAAUUAAAACUACGUCACUAUGCACUACAGAAAUACUCAAUGAAAAUAACAUUUUUGCAGAAGUACAAUCUGAUACAAAUAUUUCUGAUAAUAGUGAAACUUUACAUGAUGUUUCACACGAAAGUAACGCUGAAAAAGAAAAUGAAGAGAAAAAUAAUGAAGAAAAAGGAGAUGAAGAAAAUGAUGAAAAGGAGAGUAAUGACACUAAUCACGAUACUGAUGAAUCUGAUACUAACUAGUGAUAGCAAGUAAAAAACGUCAAUUUAUAAUCAUAAUUUUAAAAAUCGAAUUCUGUUUAUAGUUUCUUUAUAUCUCAACGGCUUAUUUUCUAGACGCCCCAUAUAUAAAAAAGAGAUUAAAAUUUUUUAUUUUAUAGAUUUUAUUAAUUUUUUAAAAUAUGGAAUUAUUCUUUUCUUAUGGCAAUUAUUCCAAAGAUUUGUGAUACUAGAAAUUAGAGUUGAAAAUUCGAGAUUUGUUUGAUUAUCCAUGAUUUUGUUUAUUUGAUAACUGAAGUUUGGAUUCGCGGAUUAUUUGCGGAUAAUCCGAAACUUAAUAUCUGAAUAGUAUGUCCGAAUCUAUUUGAUAUAACUUUAACUUUUUUAUGUCUUUAAUUUUAACCAAUUAUUAUAUUUUGAAAUUAGUAUUCUUUUUAAUUUCUUGUAAUGGACAGUUUGAAUAUAAAUUUAUGAAUUUAGAUAACUAUUAGAGAUAACAAGUAGAAGUAACAAACAUUUAUUUUUUAUUUAGAUUGAAUUACAUAUAUUAAAAUA